UACGUAGGGCGCAAGCGUUGUCCGGAAUUAUUGGGCGUAAAGAGCUCGUAGGCGGUUUGUCGCGUCUGCUGUGAAAACCUAAGGCUCAACCUUGGGCUUGCAGUGGGUACGGGCAGACUAGAGUGCGGUAGGGGUGACUGGAAUUCCUGGUGUAGCGGUGGAAUGCGCAGAUAUCAGGAAGAACACCCGUGGCGAAGGCGGCGCUCUGGGACGGUACUGACGCUGAGACGCGAAAGCGUGGGGAGCGAACAGG
rnacentral:rRNA from 1 species